ensembl:lncRNA
UGACUUUUUAGCUUUUAAUUACUUUUAGUGUCGUAUUUAAAUGAUUUUCCUGCCUUUUAACAGGCUGUUCUGCUCCUGAAAUAAAUGGGGGAUGUGGGUGGGGAAUUAAUUGUAAAGAAAAUAGAAUUAUGUGGGUACGUGGCUGGUGACAGGUAAAGGGCAGAUUUAUCGAGGUUGAAUCCUAGCUUUUCUGCCUCCGAGCCCAGUAACCUCCAAGACGCUAAGCCUACCCGGAAAAUGGGGUUAAUAGCGGUACCUACCUCACAGGGCUGCUGCCAUAACUCACGUGAGGUUCCCAGCACAUUAUUGGGCAUCUGAUGAAUGCUCAGUUAGUAGUUUUAAUAUUAUUAACAACACUGUUUUAUUAUUUAUAAGAAAAAUGAGUCUACUAGAAAAAUCAAUCUCCUCAUUUCAUGGCUUUCCUCUGUUUUUGACUCAAACUGUUACUUUCUUGGUUGCGCAUCAGAACCAGUGCGCUAGGGGACCCCUGGUGGCUCAGGGCGUGACCCCGGGGUCCUGGGAUUGAGUCCCGCGUCGGGCUCCCCGCAGGGAGCCUGCUUCUCCCUCUGCCUCUGUGUCUCUCAUGGAUAAAUAAAAUCUUAAAAAAAAAGAAAAGAACGAGUGGGUUAGUUUUUAAAUGACUCUUUGCUGUUUUCACAAAUUCAGAAAUGCAUACAAGUCUGCAAAACUUGUGCCUACGCUAGGAAUGUUCUGUUGAGCGUGAGGCCGGCCCCUCCCAGUUCCUCUGCCAUUGGGAGCUCGGCUCCGUGGGUGCCGGGUCCCCCCAAGGGUCUUCCGAGAGGGGGUAACAGGGUUUUGAAAAUGCGAGGUGGUGUUCGUUAAAGCAAGCUCCAGCCUAUGAGGGCUGCGAUGGGGACCGUGGCCCCUUCCCCGCCGCAGGAUGUCCUGUGCGCUGCGACCGCGAGCGUCCUGGGUGGGGCGAGGGGGCCCGAGGCCGGGCUGCGGGCGCGCGGGUUCCCCGACGGCCCCGGGGUUCUUGUGGGCAAAGUCGGGCCGGGCGCGGGUCGGAGGGGACCAGGCCGCUGCCCUGCAGGUGGAGGCCCCGCCGCCAGCGCCCCCCCGACUCGGCCGCAGGAUCGUUCCGGAGAGGAAAGCGGGUCCCGGCCCAGCGUUGGGAGACGCGUGUGCCCCGCGCCCCGGAGGUGCAGGUCUCCAUCCAGCCUUCUCAUGCUGGGAUGGUUGGAUGACAGUGCAAGUGGACGAGGGUCUAGGAUCCAGACUGCUUCAGACUCCAUCACCAGCAUUUCCCCACAUGGAGCCUGCAAGACCUUCUCCAUCUUCACUCUUCCCACCUCAGUUCUGCACAGCCUUCAAGACCUUGCUCAGGUUGUGGAAUUAGCAAGUGGAGAACCAGUUGGAAGCCGACCUUCUUCUCAACGUCCUUUGAAUGCAACGCUGAUUUGGAGACCAAGGCUCGAUGGCUACGCGGGCUUACUCUUCUGACCCAGCCCCAGAGGACAUGGGAAGAGCACAAACGGUCUAAUGAACAACAGUUUCAGACACAAGCUGACCAACCGUCCUGAUGAAGUGACAGGAAGUCCACCUUGGGUUUUCCAGGUCAGAAAUAUGUGAUGCUACACAACUGCGGCACUUAGGUGACAUUUAGGAUUAGCUAAAAAACUGUUGAAAUCCUUACAUUUUUUUCCCUGCUUAAAAAAAAAAAAUCCGGAAAACAUCAAACUUUUUCUGGAAGUUGAAGUAAGGAAAUUAAUGUCAGUGACAGAAAUACAGCGAAUCUAAUUAGAAGUCCCCGGGCAGCAGCUCAUUAGUGUGGUUAGUUAGUAAAUGAAAUUUCAGCUGCAGUGAAUUAGACUAUGUGUCUUCGGUUAUUUUUUUCUAAAAAGAAUUACAAAACGUCUACAACUGNUUUUUGUUAGGGGUUUUUUUUUUUUUUUUUUUUUUUUUUUGCAAACAAAAAAUAUUUAGGGUCUUUUGUCACAAGGAAAGAAAUUGCCAUUUGGGGACAGAUUUUCUGAAAUGUCUGUAUGUUAAGCGUGGGCCAGAGAAACAAAAGGCAUUUUCUCCGGUGACGGGAGAGGCUUGCAUUUGUUUCUUAAGCUGCUCAGCUUCACGUGUGUCUUUUGUCAGACCCUUUAGUUAGUUAGUUAGUUUGUUUUACCCAUUUGUACUUAGUGAUUGGAUUUCUCUAAAAAAAAUAAAAAAAAAUCUCAGCCAGGCUGAACA